rnacentral:lncRNA from 1 species
GAAAUUUAGGGUAAAAUAUGCUUUUUUGAUGCUUUUUUGGUAUACCCAAUAAAAGGAAUAGUUAUUCACUCAUUCUGGAGAGAACUAGUAGCCGAUGGUCACCUAAAAUUUCUGAAUACACAAAGAAAAUAAAUUUCUGCAACUUUCUUGCUGAAAACAUCAGUUUCUAGUUAGAGUUCUAGGCUACUUUUCUCUAGUAUUCUGAUUUUGGAGAGUCUAAGUGUUUGUCCUUUGGUAUACUGGGCUGAAUUCUUGCUGGUGUUCUGGGUUUCUGCUGGUUGUCUCCUUCAUAACUUUCAAUUAGAGCUUCACCUUUGCUUCAUUUUUACCCUCAUUGCAGUAGGUAUGUAACUCCUUAUCCAAAAAUUAGUCAUGAAUGACAUUAUGGUUUGGAUUCAGAUAUGUAUGUUAUUUCUGCCUAUAAUCUCUACACUUGUCUCAAAUUCUUUUUUUGGUUUCUGUUCAAUAAAUGUGCUUCCCUAAAAUUCCAGACCUCUUUCUUGUAAACUGACUUCUUAUCAUAUUUUUUUAUAUGAACCAUGCCUUUAUAAGAUAAGUUGAUAUGGUUAUUAGGCUGGUAUUAACCACUGUUUGCCACUUUGUUGUUAUACAAUGCUAAUGGAUUCCCCAUUAUAAUGAAACUUGCAUUUUAUUUUCUGGUUAUAUGUGACUGACAACAAUAGAAGAAAAUCUUAGAGCUGGA